rnacentral:miRNA from 1 species
CUGAACACUCAAUUAAAUUUGAAUUUCAAAUGAACAAUGAAUAACUUGUUUUAGGAUAAGUAUGACCCAUGCAAUAUUUGGGACAUACUUAUCCUAAAAAAAUUACCCAGUUUAUCAGAAAUUCUUAUUUAACUGGCACUCUGUA